rnacentral:misc_RNA from 1 species
GAUGAAGAACGCAGCGAAAUGCGAUAAGUAGUGUGAAUUGCAGAAUUCAGUGAAUCAUCGAAUCUUUGAACGCACAUUGCGCUCUUUGGUAUUCCAAAGGGCAUGCCUGUUCGAGCGUCAUUUGUACCCUCAAGCUUUGCUUGGUGUUGGGCGUCUUGUCUCUAGCUUUGCUGGAGACUCGCCUUAAAGUAAUUGGCAGCCGGCCUACUGGUUUCGGAGUGCAGCACAAGUCGCACUCUCUAUCAGCAAAGGUCUAGCAUCCAUUAAGCCUUUUUUUCAACUUUUGACCUCGGAUCAGGUAGGGAUACCCGCUGAACUUAAGCAUAUCAAUAAGCGGAGGA